rnacentral:rRNA from 1 species
CGGGAAACCGGAGCUAAUACCGGAUAAUAUUUCGAACCGCAUGGUUCGAUAGUGAAAGGUGGUUUUGCUAUCACUUAUAGAUGGACCCGCGCCGUAUUAGCUAGUUGGUAAGGUAACGGCUUACCAAGGCGACGAUACGUAGCCGACCUGAGAGGGUGAUCCGGCCACACUGGAACUUGAGACACGGUCCAGACUCCUACGGGAGGCAGCAGCA